AUGGCGGCGGCGGCGGCGGCGCUAGAAGACCGGAGCUGCGUGAUCCUGGCCACGAAUGACUACAGUAGCCACACGUACACGCUGCACCACAUCGACGUGGCACCGUUCUUCUCCCACCCCGACCCAGACGAUGAGGCCAUGGACGACAUCCCCCUGCCUCCCGCGUCCGCACGCUUCGACAAGCCGGCAUUCCCGGGGAACUGCUUCGUCAACUUCCACCUUCUCCGCGGAGGCGCCAUCUAUGGCGGCGGCGACAUCAAGGUCGUGUCCACCAACGGCAAGCGCCGUGUCAUCUACGACGUCGCCUGCCGCGCCGUCCGUGGCGGACCGGUGAUGCGCGCUCGCAAGGGCCGCCCGAUCUCCGCCUCCGUCGGGGAAGGCCUCUUCGUCCUCGAACUCAUACCCGACAAGGGCAAGGGCUGCUUCGAGGCCCUCCGGUACGACAGGCUCCAGGAGGACUGGUUCUGGCACAGCCUCCCGCCACUAGUAGAAAAAGGGCCAUUUGUCCCGGUUCAUAAGGGGGGCGUCACGGCGGCCGCCGGUGGCAGGAUCUGGACGUACACGAAGAACGCGGGGACCUACUCGUUCGACACCAGGCGCUGCUCCUGGAGGAAGGAAGGCGACUGGGCGCUACCGUUCGUCGGAAAAGUCAAGCACGUCCCGGUGUGCGGCCGCGACAGACUGUCUUUCGGCUUCGCGUCCAUCAGCAGCCCUCUCUGCGCCGUCGACCUCGCCACCGCGACCGCGGAGAGCCCGCCGGAGGUGCGCGGUGUCUGGGAGGAAUUCAGGCUGCCUGGGGAUUGGCUGGGAGGCACCUCCUCCCUGGUGCACCUCGGGUCCGGCAAGAUGUGCAUCUUCAGGUUCUUCGGCACUGUCCCUAGUCCCCCUAUUGACAGAUCUGGGAAGAAGCCGGACCGUUUCGUCGUCAUCACCCCCAUCGAGGUAGGUCCCGGCGACGACAAUGACAAAGAGAUCAAGAUGGUGAAGCACAGGUCCAAGCGUAUCAAAUUAGACAGACUUAAUGGACAUAUAACAUGGGUACUCUGA
rnacentral:rRNA from 1 species